CUUUUGAUCACUAAAAACAAUCUCUGACACUUGUGAUAAUUAGAUUGCCAGGUGAGCCCAAUUUAAGGAAAAACUAAUAAAGAAGGGUGUUCCACAUUAUUAAGCAGCGCACCAUUUUCAUACAAUAUGGGGAAGAAAAGGAAUCUCUCUGCUGCCGAAAAGAGUGAAAUAGUUCAAUGCCUUGGACGAGGUAUGAAAACAUUAGAUAUUUCACGAAAACUUAAGCGUAAUCAUCAAUCACUAUUAAGAUAUUU